rnacentral:lncRNA from 1 species
CUGGUGGCGCUGUCAGGCGGGCACACCAUCGGGCUGGGCCACUGCACGUCGUUCGAGGACCGCCUGUUCCCGCGCCCGGACCCGACGCUGAACGCCACCUUCGCCGGCCAGCUCCGGCGGACAUGCCCGGCGAAGGGCACCGACCGCCGGACGCCGCUGGACGUGCGCACGCCCAACGCGUUCGACAACAAGUACUACGUGAACCUGGUGAACCGUGAGGGGCUCUUCACCUCGGACCAGGACCUCUUCAGCAACGCCCGCACCAGGGCCCUCGUCGACAAGUUCGCGCGCAGCCAGAGGGACUUCUUCGACCAGUUCGCCUUCUCCGUGGUGAAGAUGGGGCAGAUCAAGGUGCUGACGGGCACGCAGGGGCAGAUCCGCAC